UUCGUUCGUUCAAGCGCUCUAAUAUCUAAAUCUUCAUAUCAGAUUGGAAAAAUUGUAUAUUUUGCCAUAGAGUAAAUAGAGAGUAUAUAGAACAAGAAACUUUAAUGCGUAGAGAGGAAAGUCAUAUUACUAGAAAAAUGUUGAAUGUGCAAGUGGAAGGUCAUAAGAGGAAAGGAAGGCCAAAGAAGAGAUGGUUGGAUUGUGUGAAAGAGGACAUGUGUGUAAAAGGAGUGGAUGAUGAGUUGACGAGUAAUAGAAACGAAUGGAAAAGAUUGAUAUAUUUUUCCGACCCCACUUAAGUGGGAUAAGGGUAAGGAGAUGAUGAUAGAACAAGAAACUUUAUUAGAAAAUAUUACUCUUUAUUAAUUAAAGUAUAAUAUGAAAGUCCUUGAUAGCCCAGUGGAUAUGACCUCUGUCUCCGAUUCCGGUGGGUGUGGGUUCGAAUCCGGUACGGGACAUGCACCUCCAACUUUUCAGUUGUGUGCAUUUUAAGAAAUUAAAUAUUACGUGUCUCGAAUGGUGAAGGAACAACAUCGUGACGAAACCCGCGUAUUAGAAAAUUUUCUCAAUUUUCUGCGUGUGUGAAGUCUGCCAAUCCGCAUUGGGCCAGCGUGGUGGACUAUUGGCCAAACCCCCCCAAUUCUUAGAGGAGACUCAAGCUCAGCAGUGUGCCGAAUAUUACUUGAUAAUGAUGAUGAUGAUGUUUAAUUAACGUAUAUAAUCGGCACGUUAGUAUCAUUAUAAUUAUUUCGGAUACACUAAACAACACUUCCACAGCCUAACUUCUUUAGUCUAAACUACAGAAAAUACUUUAACUUGAACACUUGUAACAAGACGACAGUCGAUACUCAGCUAACUCAAUUAUCAGAGGUCCUGACCACCUCCGUUGCAAUCUCCCACCAUCAAUCCUUUUACAAACAUUCACUGUUGGCGGGAGCCAAUCAUGAGUUCAACUUUUGGGGGAAGCCAAUAGCGAUGUUGCACGAUGUCAGGCGAACUAGACAGUGCUGCCAAUUUAAGUAUUUUUAGUCUAUGUUAUUGUUAUUUACAUACAUUUACAUAUUUCACAUUUUAUAAUUAACCUAAUAAACUAUUUAUUAAAAUGCGGCGGCGUCGUUGCUUCGCGGCGACAACAAGUAUAAUAUAAAAGUCCUUUAUAUAUCAAAUUUAAUUAUUGGAAAAUAGUAUUUAAGGUUAAAAUACAAAAUAACUAUUGAUAAUUUUUCCUAUAAAUUUUAGGGGAACAAAAUAUGUAAAUAAAAAUCGAUUUUGUCAUAGACAAAGACACGGGUGUCUACUAGUCAUACAAUAUAAGAAACGACACAAAAACCCAUUAUUGUAUUUUAGUUAUUGCAAUUUAACUGAUCGUGAUAAUAAUCUGGUAUGCAAAACACGGGUCGGUAUGAAUUAAAAAACAAAUCUCCGCCACCUAAUCCGGAGGGUGUGGGUUCGAAUCUGGACCGGGGCAUGCACCUACAACUUUUGUUGUGUGCAUUUUAAGAAAUUAAAUAUCACGUGUCUCAAACGGUGAAGGAAAAACAUCGUGAGGAAACCUGCAUACCACAGAAUUUUCUUAAUUUUCUUGUGAAGUCCGCCAUUGGGCCAGCGUAGUUGACUAUUGGCCUUACCUCUCUCAUACUGAGAGGAGACUCGAAUGAGCAGUGAGCCGAAUAUGGGUUGAUAAUGAUGAGUUGUGAGACAAGCCAGAAUUUGUGUUAUAUUUACCUUAGUUGGUAGUUAUGUGUUUAUAUGACAUAAUAAAGUCAAACAUAAAUUAGAAAAGGUUAUGGGGCUAAAAAGACCCUGUAUACAAGCUAACUAUAUAUAAAUCAUUCCCACUAGAAACGUGUUAAGCUAUUGAAGCUUUACUAAUUAACAUAAAAUCACGUGAAGCUGGUAGGUACGUAGGAGAAACUCUUUGAUUCCAUCUACUCGUAGUUCGUAGAAUUCGCAACAUAUUGUUGCACUUAAAGGGUUGGUAAUACCUAAUAUUAAACGUUUCAAACUAGUACGCAAAUACCUGGAUCACGUGUUUAAUCCGAUACAGGUGUAUUUAUUAGUUUCAAAAUCAACACGUGCUUAAAUCCAAAUCCAAAUCCGCCCAACAUGAAAUCAUGCUAAGGGUAAGAAAGUUUUAAUUAAUUAAUUUUUAACGAUCUACUACAGGUUACCAGUGUAACAGGUAACCAAGGGCUCUGGUGCGAAUAAAAAAAUGGGGCCCCAGUACUAUCUAAACUGGUUAGGUUUUAUCCAGUAAAAUAUUAAAUACUAGCGGACGUCCGCAACUUCAUCCGCGUUGAAUUCGUUUUUCACAAAUCCCACGGGGACUAUGGAUUUUUCCGGGAUGAAAAAUAGCCUAUGUUAAUCCAGAGUGAAAUCUAUUUCCAUUUCAAAUUUCAGCCAAAUCAUUUCAAUAGCCGCAGCGUAAAGGAGGAACAAACAUACACACAUACACACACAAACUUUCGCCUUUAAAAUAUUAGUGUGAUACCCGUGCGAUUUUACAACGUUUACAGUUUUUCUGUAGCGUAUUUAGUAUGAGCAUUGCACCCGUGCAAAGCCGGGGCGGGUCGUUAGUUAUACUUAUAAACCUUCCUCUUCAAUCACUCUAUCUAUAAAAAAAACCGCAUCAAAAUUCGUUACGUAGUUUUAAAGAUUUAAGCAUACAUAGGGACAUAGGGAUAUAGGGACAGUGAAAGCGACUUUGUUUUGUACUAUGUAAUGAUAGUGAUAUACAAAGUUCUACAAUUUCAGUUCAAUCGCAAAUUUCUGGUACUCUCUAAAAGAGUACUCCUUCUAACAUAAAAAUAAUUUUCACAAUCUAUUCUAGUAUUAUAAAGCUAAAGAGUUUGUUUGUUUGAUUGUACGCGCUAAUCUCAGGAACUACUUUACCGAUUUGAAAAAUUAUUUCAGUGUUAGAUAGCUAAUUUAUCGAAGAAGGCUAUAUAUUAGCUCCGUAUUCCUACUGGAACAGGUACCUCGCGGGUAAAACCGCGCGGCAUCAGCUAGUUGGUUAAUAAAUGACGAAGUUAUGAGGUAACAAACAAUGAAAAAAAAACAUACACGUCGAAUUGAGAGAACCUCCUCUUUUUUGAAAUCGGUUGAAAAGUUUUUAAGCACGAUUAAUCGAUGUAGGUAAGUUUCCGUCUUCGUAGGCGUACUUGUUCAAACAAUAGUAACAAUAGUGAACGACAAAACAGUAUAAUUAGAGCAAGAUGAUUUGUAUGGUACAGCACCAUACAAGGAUGUCAUUCGUAGUAUGUACUUUAAGACUGUGAAUAUACUGAAUCGACUUAGUGAGUAGGUUGAGAUAUGGCAGUACAAUAUGAAUUUGACAAUACAAUGAUGAUUUAUUUUCGGUAACAUUCCUUUUUUUUAUUUAUAGCUUUAUUAUUAUAUCUUGGCUUUUGUCAAUUAAGCUUAACAAAAUUUGUAAAAAGCCGCGUACUACAACCAAACUAGGUCAUUUAUUAUGAUAAAUUGAUAAAUCCCACUUUUAAUAAUUUCAAGUAUUUUUGUUUUACUAAGAAGGCUGGUGGGAGGCUUCGGCCGUGGCUAGUUACCACCCUAACGACAAAGACGUACCGCCAAGCGAUUCCGCGUUCCGGUACGAUUUCGUGUAGAAACCGAAAGGGAUGUAGGUUUUCAUCCUCCUCCUAACAAGUUAGUCCGCUUUCAUCUUAGAUUGCAUCAUCACUUACCAUCAGAUGAGAUUGUAGUCAAGGUCUAACUUGUAAAGAGUAAAAAUAAGGUAUCGUUAGAUUUAUACAGUUUUGUAAUAUUAUAAGAAGACGAAAGUCUUCGAACGGUGCGUGUUGUCACUUGUCAGUGAUGACCUACGGAUCCGAGACUUGGUCGCUAACUAUGGGCCUCAUAAGAAGGCUCAAAGUAACACAGCGGGUAAUGGACCCAGCUAUCAAGCUCUUCGUGAUCGAAUCAGUCAGAUAUCUUCAAAAUUAUACAGCUUUAUAGUGUGAGGCAUGUGUAAGGUCCCUUGUCCUUACUGUAAUAGAGUAAAUCACGGCUUCAUCACUACACUAUUAUGGCCUGCACCGGACGUCCGAUCUCCACCAACGACAAUGACAGAGAGCUCUUUCUCUUUACCCCUUCACUCCGAGUAUAUAUGACACAGUGAAUAUAUGUAUCUAUUUAGUAGAUACUAACACUACAGUAGGUAUAUAUAUUUAAACGUUGAAUUUGUAUGUGAAACAAUAAAAUUAUAAUUCGUAUUUUUUUCGUCAGAAACGAAGGCCCUUUUAUUGUAACAAAAACUUUAUUAAACAAUAACAAAUUAAUUAUCUUACUUGUCAUUUUAAUUAGUGUUUUUUUUAUUUAUUUUCUUAUAGAUAAAAUGGUGAAUUAAAUUAACCUUCAGUGUAUUCUCAGCUUUAGCUUCCGUGAUAGCUCAGUUGUCACAAUAUAGAUUUAAAACCAUGUCUUAUUUUUUUCAAUAGCCAUUAUGUUAGAAGUUCAAGGUUAUGAUUUUAGUAUAUAAUGGUCCUUUGACAAAUCAUGCAAUGUAUUCGUAUUUAACGAUUCACGAUGUUCUACAAAUUGAUCUUCCUUUUCGCCUUGCUUGCUGUGGCGUUCGCUGCCCCGCACCCUGACCCCAAGCCUCAGUACUUGACUUACUCUCCAGCCCUCAACUACCUGUACCCAGCGUCUGCCGUACCCUCGGUCUCUGCUUACUCAGCUCCGGUGCUUACUCCGUAUACGUACUCUGCUUACCCUAAUCCUGUGUUUGUGCGUUAGAAUGUUACGAUGAUUGUAAAACUGUAGCAUGAUUAAAUAUUAUCCGGCCGCCUUUUUAUAUUAAACGAUGUUAUAAUUAUAAAUUAA